GUGUCAGCCGCCGCGGUAAUACGUAGGGUGCGAGCGUUAAUCGGAAUUACUGGGCGUAAAGCGUGCGCAGGCUGUUUCGUAAGUCAGAUGUGAAAUCCCUGGGCUCAACCUGGGAACUGCAUUUGUGACUGCAUGGCUAGAGUACGGUAGAGGGGGAUGGAAUUCCGCGUGUAGCAGUGAAAUGCGUAGAUAUGCGGAGGAACACCGAUGGCGAAGGCAAUCCCCUGGACCUGUACUGACGCUCAUGCACGAAAGCGUGGGGAGCAAACAGGAUUAGAAACCCUUGUAGUCC
rnacentral:rRNA from 1 species